rnacentral:rRNA from 1 species
UACAGAGGUCCCGAGCGUUGUUCGGAUUCAUUGGGCGUAAAGGGUGCGUAGGUGGUGAGGUAAGUCGGAUGUGAAAUCUCCAGGCUCAACCUGGAAACUGCAUUGGAAACUACCUUGCUGGAGGAUUUGAGGGGGGAUUGGAAUACUUGGUGUAGCAGUGAAAUGCGUAGAUAUCAAGUGGAACACCAGUGGCGAAGGCGAAUCCCUGGAAAAUACCUGACACUGAGGCACGAAGGCUAGGGGAGCAAACAGG